UACAGAGACCUCAAGCGUUAUCCGGAAUCAUUGGGCGUAAAGCGUUCCGAUAGGUGGUUUAGAAAGUUUUGGGUAAAAGCCAGAAGCUCAAACUUCUGAGUUUGCUCAAAAUACUUCUCAACUAGAGGGGCAAAUAGGUAGCUGGAACGAACGGUGUAGUAGUGAAAUGCGUUGAUAUCGUUCGGAACACCGAAAGCGAAGGCAGAGCACUGGGUGCCACCUGACACUGCUAGGACGAAAGCGUGGGGAGCGAAAUGGG
rnacentral:rRNA from 1 species